CUAGUCUUAUCGGUGGAUCACUCGGUUCAUAGAUCGAUGAAGAACGCAGCCAACUGCGAUAUAUGGUGUGAACUGCAGAUAUUUUGAACACCAAGAAUUCGAAUGCACAUUGCGCCACUGGAUUUUAUCCUUUGGCACAUCUGGCUCAGGGUCGUAA
rnacentral:rRNA from 1 species